UACAGAGGCCCCAAGCGUUACUGAGAAUCACUGGGUUUAAAGGGUGCGUAGGUGGUCCGUUAAGUUCGUUGUGAAAUCCCUGGGCUCAACCCAGGAACUGCUUCGAAUACUGGCGGACUUGAGGCUAGUAGGGGUCACUGGAACUGACGGUGGAGCGGUGAAAUGCGUAGAUAUCGUCAGGAACGCCAAUGGUGAAGACAGGUGACUGGGCUAGAUCUGACACUGAGGCACGAAAGCGUGGGGAGCGAACAGG
rnacentral:rRNA from 1 species